rnacentral:rRNA from 1 species
AUUGAACGCUGGCGAAAUGCUUUACACAUGCAAGUCGAACGGCAGCACGGACUUCGGUCUGGUGGCGAGUGGCGAACGGGUGAGUAAUGUAUCGGAACGUGCCCAGUCGUGGGGGAUAACGUAGUGAAAAUUACGCUAAUACCGCAUACGACCUAUGGAUGAAAGCGGGGGAUCGCAAGACCUCGCGCGAUUGGAGCGGCCGGUAUCAGAUUAGGUAGUUGGUGGGGUAAAGGCCCACCAAGCCAACGAUGUGUAGCUGGUCUGAGAGGACGCCCAGCCCCAAUGGUACUGAGACACGGUCCAGACUUCUACGGGAGGCAGCAGCGGCGAAUUGUCGAAAAUGGGCGAAAACCUACUUCCGCCAUUCCGCGUGCAGGAUGAAGGCCCUCGGGUUGUAAACUGCUUUUGUACAGAACGAAAAAGUUUCUACUAAUACUAGGAGCUCAUGACGGUACUGUAAGAAUAAGCACCGGCUAACUACGUGCCAGCCGCCGCAGUAA